AACGAACGCUGGCGGCAGGCCUAACACAUGCAAGUCGAGCGCGCCCUUCGGGGUUAUCGGCGGACGGGUGAGUAACGCGUGGGAACGUGCCCUUUUCUACGGAAUAGCCUCGGGAAACUGAGAGUAAUACCGUAUACGCCCUUUGGGGGAAAGAUUUAUCGGAAAAGGAUCGGCCCGCGUUGGAUUAGGUAGUUGGUGGGGUAAUGGCCUACCAAGCCGACGAUCCUUAGCUGGUUUGUGAGGAUGAUCAUCCACACUGGGACUGGGACACGGCCCAGACUCCUACGGGAGGCAGCAGUGGGGGAUCUUAGACAAUGGGGGCAACCCUGAUCUAGCCAUGCCGCGUGAGUGAUGAAGGCCUUAGGGUUGUAAAGCUCUUUCAGCUGGGAAGAUAAUGACGGUACCAGCAGAAGAAGCCCCGGCUAACUCCGUG
rnacentral:rRNA from 1 species